rnacentral:rRNA from 1 species
AGAGUUUGAUCCUGGCUCAGAUUGAACGCUGGCGGAAUGCUUUACACAUGCAAGUCGAACGGCAGCACGGGAGCUUGCUCCUGGUGGCGAGUGGCGAACGGGUGAGUAACAUAUCGGAACAUAUCCUAUCGUGGGGGAUAACUAGUCGAAAGACUAGCUAAUACCGCAUACGUCCUGAGGGAGAAAGCGGGGGCUCGCAAGACCUCGCGCGAUUGGAGUGGCCGAUAUCUGAUUAGCUAGAUGGUGAGGUAAAAGCUCACCAUGGCGACGAUCAGUAGCUGGUCUGAGAGGAUGAUCAGCCACACUGGGACUGAGACACGGCCCAGACUCCUACGGGAGGCAGCAGUGGGGAAUUUUGGACAAUGGGCGAAAGCCUGAUCCAGCCAUUCCGCGUGAGUGAAGAAGGCCUUCGGGU